AGAGAAAAAGGUUGAAAGAAGAGCGUAAAGGAAAAAAGAGUGUUCGAGUAAGGUUUAGAGGAAAAAAAGGAAAUUUGAAAGAAGAGAGGUAAGUUAUUGAAGAAAAAAGGCUGGUUAUGAAAGAAUAGAAAGAUAGAACUUAAAAGAAAAGGAAAUAUUUGUUUUUGAAGGGCUAGUUUAAGAAAAAAGUUAAAUAAUAUUGAAAACGAAGUUGAAAAAGGGAAAGGCAAAACCUGUUUGGGAGGCCCAGGGUAAAAAGGGUGAAUAAAAAGGCAUUGAAACUAUUGAAUACCAAUAUAGGUUAAGAAAAGGCAUUAAAAACAUUAAAAACUAGGUUUAAAAGGGGAAUUUACUAAAGCAAAAUAUGUUUAGUAAGCACAUGGCCAAAGACUAUAAAAAGGUACUAAAAGAAAAGCAUUUAAAAUGAUUAAAAACUAGGUUUAAAAAGAGAAUUUACAAAGGCAAAACCUGUUUGGGAAGCACAGGG